rnacentral:rRNA from 1 species
AUUGAACGCUGGCGGCAUGCCUUACACAUGCAAGUCGAACGGCAGCACGGGAGCAAUCCUGGUGGCGAGUGGCGAACGGGUGAGUAAAGUAUCGGAACGUGCCCAGUCGUGGGGGCUAACGUAGCGAAAGUUACGCUAAUACCGCAUACGAUCCAUGGAUGAAAGCGGGGGAUCGCAAGACCUCGCGCGAUUGGAGCGGCCGAUAGCAGAUUAGGUAGUUGGUGGGGUAAAGGCUCACCAAGCCGACGAUCUGUAGCUGGUCUGAGAGGACGACCAGCCACACUGGGACUGAGACACGGCCCAGACUCCUACGGGAGGCAGCAGUGGGGAAUUUUGGACAAUGGGCGCAAGCCUGAUCCAGCCAUGCCGCGUGCAGGAUGAAGGCCUUCGGGUUGUAAACUGCUUUUGUACGGAACGAAAAGGUUUGACUUAAUACGUUGGACUCAUGACGGUACCGUAAGAAUAAGCACCGGCUAACUACGUGCCAGCAGCCGCCGUAA